CUGAACUAACGGGAAGAAUCGUCUGAACACACGAGAACGUUCAGUUGACCCACUGAGUAGUUUAUUAACAUUAUGCUUCAUGAACAAUUACAAAUCAUAAACAGGUAUCUUUAAUGACUGAACAUGUUGACUUGUUGUUCCCAAAGGAACACAAAGAAACUAUCUUCCGUUUAAAGUAAUUUACAACAUCGUUACCCUUUCCCAUAGAAUGCUUAUCAUCAUUUAUGAUUAUGUUGUUACAUCUGCUUUAAAUCACAAUCUUCCUUUUCAUGGUUUACGCUGAACCUUUCAGAAGCCCAAUAAAAUGAAUAAUUUGGACUACAGUGGAGUAUUUAAAUCAAUCACAAAGUGUUGUACUUCCACUGAACGGGUUGACCCCUCAGAGCACCAACAGCUGCUGCUCAACAACCCGAUGCAAUACAGGUACGUCCAUGGGUCCACAGGUAUUCAAACGUCCCCCUAACAGCUGGUCCUCAACAACGUCAGGACUGUGAGGACCCCCCAGACCCAAGCGGACCCCUCUAAUCUGACGCUCAGCAGCCCAGCUGAACACAGAGAGGGCUGAGAGAUGAACCACGAGAGACACUGAUGUUACCUGCUGCUUACCACCGGCACACUGACCUGCUGUGGGUUUAGAUCCAUGAACGAUGUGUGUGUGUGAGUGCAUGUCUGUGUAAAUAAGUCUGUGUACGUGUGUGUGUGUGUGUGUGUGUGUGUGUGUGUGUGUGUGUGUGUGUGUGUGUGUGUGUGUGUGUGUGUGUGUGUGUGUGUGUGUGUGUGUGUGUGUGUGUGUGAAUAA